AGUGAACGCUGGCGGUAGGCCUAACACAUGCAAGUCGAACGGCAGCACAGUAAGAGCUUGCUCUUACGGGUGGCGAGUGGCGGACGGGUGAGGAAUACAUCGGAAUCUACUUUUUCGUGGGGGAUAACGUAGGGAAACUUACGCUAAUACCGCAUACGACCUACGGGUGAAAGCUGGGGAUCUUCGGACCUUGCGCGAUUGAAUGAGCCGAUGUCGGAUUAGCUAGUUGGCGGGGUAAAGGCCCACCAAGACGACGAUCCGUAGCUGGUCUGAGAGGAUGAUCAGCCACACUGGAACUGAGACACGGUCCAGACUCCUACGGGAGGCAGCAGUGGGGAAUAUUGGACAAUGGGCGCAAGCCUGAUCCAGCCAUACCGCGUGGGUGAAGAAGGCCUUCGGGUUGUAAAGCCCUUUUGUUGGGAAAGAAAAGCAGCAGGUUAAUACCCCGCUGUUCUGACGGUACCCAAAGAAUAAGCACCGGCUAACUUCGUG
rnacentral:rRNA from 1 species